AUGAACGCUGGCGGCGUGCCUAAUACAUGCCAGUCGAGCGAACGGACGAGAAGCUUGCUUCUCUGAUGUUAGCGGCGGACGGGUGAGUAACACGUGGAUAACCUACCUAUAAGACUGGGAUAACUUCGGGAAACCGGAGCUAAUACCGGAUAAUAUUUUGAACCGCCUGGUUCAAAAGUGAAAGACGGUCUUGCUGUCACUUAUAGAUGGAUCCGCGCUGCAUUAGCUAGUUGGUAAGGUAACGGCUUACCAAGGCAACGAUGCAUAGCCGACCUGAGAGGGUGAUCGGCCACACUGGAACUGAGACACGGUCCAGACUCCUACGGGAGGCAGCAGUAGGGAAUCUUCCGCAAUGGGCGAAAGCCUGACGGAGCAACGCCGCGUGAGUGAUGAAGGUCUUCGGAUCGUAAAACUCUGUUAUUAGGGAAGAACAUAUGUGUAAGUAACUGUGCACAUCUUGACGGUACCUAAUCAGAAAGCCACGGCUAACUACGUG
rnacentral:rRNA from 1 species